rnacentral:lncRNA from 1 species
AUUGCAUUCUUAGUGUUGUGUUCAGAAGCUCUUUAUGUAAGCCAAGAUCAGGGUUGCCUCCUUUCCCGGGCCUGUUUCCAGUCUUUUCUGUGAGCACCUGGUGCCACUGAUAGAAUAAGAACCUGCAAAAAGGUGUCCACUCUGUCCAGUGCCGGGAGGAACGGAGAGCCUUAUCCUCCUGAAGAGCAGAAGCACCAUCUCCACGAGGUAGGCUCGGUGCCAUGGGCAAGGAGAACCUUUGGGCUAAUGCAGAAGAGUCAGCUGGGGGAGCAUGAGCUGGAGGCCCUCGUGAGGUUGCCGGACGACCUGUUCUGGAGGCUGAAGUCCAAGAUCAGAGUGCCAACAUGGUGGCCAUCAGGGAGAAAAGGAGAAGACACACAGAGAAGGCCACGUGAAGACGGGAAGAGAGUGCAGCAGUAUGACCACAAGCCAAGGAAGCCAAGGAAUGCCAACAGCCACCCGAAGCUGGAAGAGGUUACCUGUGGAAGGUUUUCAUGUCAAUGGCUGACAGCAAAAACAAAGCUGUGUAUGCAGAGAGCAGUCAGGAAACGCUAUCCCUGUCCAGGAAAAGGUGCGAUGUCAGAGUGGCUAUACCAGUCUGCAUUCCCAACAGCAAUGAACAAGAGUUCCUGUUCCUCUACGUCCUCUCCAGCAUUUGGUGCUGUCAGUGUUCUAGACUUUGACCAUUCUAGCAGGAAGAAAAUAAGGACUGAAAAGAUGAGAGACCUUAGAGCUGAGCCUUACAAUAUUCAAGACUGA